AAGCUACUGGGGGAGCCGAAGCUCCCCCCCAAGUAGGUGCGUGCUUUGUUUUUGUUAUGGUAUCGGGCCUGUUGUUUUUGUUGUCCGGCCCGUCCCUCGAAGCCUUGGCCUGUUGGGAAGGUUCCCAGAGGGGGAACCAAUAGCAAACGGAUUGCUUUGGACGCUGACGAUGCCAUGAUCAUUCCGUGACCCAACCAGUUCAGGCGCUGCCUUGGGGCAGUU
rnacentral:misc_RNA from 1 species